rnacentral:rRNA from 1 species
AGAGUUUGAUCCUGGCUCAGAACGAACGCUGGCGGCAGGCUUAACACAUGCAAGUUGAACGGGAUUUGUGUGGUGCUUGCACCAUAUAAUGAGAGUAGCGCACUGGUGAGUAACACGUGGGAACGUACCUUUUGGUGGGGGACAACAUCUGGAAACGGAUGCUAAUACCGCAUAAGACCUGAGGGUGAAAGAUUUAUCGCCGAAAGAACGGCCCGCGGAAGAUUAGGCAGUUGGUGGGGUAAAGGCCUACCAAACCUACGAUCUAUAGCUGGUCUGAGAGGACGAUCAGCCACACUGGAACUGAGACACGGUCCAGACUCCUACGGGAGGCAGCAGUGAGGAAUAUUGGGCAAUGGAGGCAACUCUGACCCAGCCAUGCCGCGUGAGUGAAGAAGGUUUUCGGAUUGUAAAGCUCUUUCGGAUGUGACGAUGAUGACGGUAGCAUCUAAAGAAGCCCCGGCUAACUUCGUGCCAGCAGCCGCGGUAAUACGAAGGGGGCGAGCGUUGUUCGGAAUUACUGGGCGUAAAGGGUGUGUAGGCGGUUAUGUAAGAUAGCGGUGAAAUCCCGGGGCUUAACCUCGGAAUAGCCGUUAUAACUAUGUAGCUAGAGUUAUGGAGAGGAUAGCGGAAUACCCAGUGUAGAGGUGAAAUUCGUAGAUAUUGGGUAGAACACCGGUGGCGAAGGCGGCUAUCUGGCCAUAUACUGACGCUGAGGCACGAAAGCAUGGGGAUCAAACAGGAUUAGAUACCCUGGUAGUCCAUGCUGUAAACGAUGAAUGCUGGUUGUCGGCUUUAGGGUCGGUGACGAAGUUAACGCGAUAAGCAUUCCGCCUGGGGAGUACGGUCGCAAGAUUAAAACUCAAAGGAAUUGACGGGGACCCGCACAAGCGGUGGAUGAUGUGGAUUAAUUCGAUGCAACGCGAAAAACCUUACCUAGCCUUGACAUGCCAGGAAGGCCUGAGAGAUCAGGCCGUGCCCGCAAGGGAAUCUGGACACAGGUGCUGCAUGGCUGUCGUCAGCUCGUGUCGUGAGAUGUUGGGUUAAGUCCC